UGGAAUAUCUCCAUUUUUAUGCUAUGACGGCUUAAGGGAAGAAGAGGAAAAGCGUAAACCGACCUAGGAGCCAGUAUAUAAGGAGUCCUAGGCGAGAGGCAUGGGGAGAGACUUUUUUCAGAGCAAACUUAGCACUUAGAGUGAUUUAGGCAUAUUUCCGUUUUUGUUAUUUCGAGCUGCGACUUAAUUAGAUUUAGCCGUCUUAGGGUUGCUAGAACUUGAAAUCUCGCCGACAGCUCUCGAGCCAAGGCUUAUACCUUGUUGUAACGCUCAAACAC
rnacentral:lncRNA from 1 species